rnacentral:rRNA from 1 species
UACGGAGGAUGCGAGCGUUAUCCGGAUUUAUUGGGUUUAAAGGGUGCGUAGGCGGACGCUUAAGUCAGCGGUAAAAUUGCGGGGCUCAACCUCGUCGAGCCGUUGAAACUGGGUGCCUUGAGUGGGCGAGAAGUACGCGGAAUGCGUGGUGUAGCGGUGAAAUGCAUAGAUAUCACGCAGAACUCCGAUUGCGAAGGCAGCGUACCGGCGCCCUACUGACGCUGAAGCACGAAGACGUGGGUAUCGAACAGG